AUGAACGCUGGCGGCGUGCCUAAUACAUGCAAGUCGAGCGAACAGACGAGGAGCUUGCUCCUCUGACGUUAGCGGCGGACGGGUGAAUAACACGUGGAUAACCUACCUAUAAGACUGGGAUAACUUCGGGAAACCGGAGCUAAUACCGGAUAAUAUAUUGAACCGCAUGGUUCAAUAGUUAAAGACGGUUUUGCUGUCACUUAUAGAUGGAUCCGCGCCGCAUUAGCUAGUUGGUAAGGUAACGGCUUACCAAGGCAACGAUGCGUAGCCGACCUGAGAGGGUGAUCGGCCACACUGGAACUGAGACACGGUCCAGACUCCUACGGGAGGCAGCAGUAGGGAAUCUUCCGCAAUGGGCGAAAGCCUGACGGAGCAACGCCGCGUGAGUGAUGAAGGUCUUCGGAUCGUAAAACUCUGUUAUUAGGGAAGAACAAAUGUGUAAGUAACUAUGCACGUCUUGACGGUACCUAAUCAGAAAGCCACGGCUAACUACGUG
rnacentral:rRNA from 1 species